UACGUAGGGGGCAAGGCGUUGUCCGGAUUUAUUGGGCGUAAAGAGCUCGUAGGCGGCUCAGUAAGUCGGGUGUGAAAGCCCCGAGCUCAACUCGGGGAGGCCACCCGAUACUGCUGUGGCUAGAGUCCGGUAGGGGAGCGUGGAAUUCCCGGUGUAGCGGUGAAAUGCGCAGAUAUCGGGAGGAACACCAGCGGCGAAGGCGGCGCUCUGGGCCGGAACUGACGCUGAGGAGCGAAAGCGUGGGGAGCGAACAGG
rnacentral:rRNA from 1 species